rnacentral:lncRNA from 1 species
AUGUGCUGGAAAAAGUACAUACAGCUAGUUAGGAAGAAUGCAUCCAAUUGGCAGGAAAUUAGCAGGAAGUGGCCAAUGUUUUGUUCUGCUUUCAUUUUCCAGUUGUACAAUGACGUUCAGGCCCGCAGAGGAGCAAACGAUGUCGCUCCUGACAACCAGAAGAAUGGCGGCGAGCUGGAGUGUGGCCUUGGGCACCAUGGCAACAGCCUUUUUGUGCCCGGCCAUCACAGCAACAGUCGCCCUGGAACCGUGACGGUGCCACAUGACUAUAGUAACGCCUGUAACUACAACGCUAAUGGCUACAGCUUCCCCGUGAGUCAUCAGAAUGGCUACAGUUACCGCCACACCAGCUCAGAGAUCGGAGACCUACUGCAGGAUUACUUGGAACAGGGGAAACAAAUGAGCCGGAAGACGAACGGACCUCGCCACGUGCACUUCAGUGACACAAUCAAAGUGAGUCAGGACAUCCCUGAGGUCAGAAGAAGAUAUGAAAAUGACAGGUUUGGUCAUGAGCAGCUUCGGGACAGUUUUGAGCAGACUGAAAACAGAAAGAACCAUGUGUCUCACACGAAGAGCUCCCCCAACAAAGAAAACACAGGUGCCAAGCCCCCUCUCGCACAAAGGGAUUCUCCUGCUGUACAGCCACGCUCCCAGCACCCAGCUAAGACUGUUGAAUCUCCCGCUCUGGACAGAAAGUCCUUCAGUCCAGGCGUCCUCGGAGACAAAAAGUGCAGCAGCCCCUCCGUUCUCAGGAAGUUUGGCGCCAUGCUGCAGGAAAACGAGGGCAAAAUGCUCACUGAGACAGGGGUGGUGACCCCUCAGGGUUUGGCCCUGGAGCCAAAGUGCCCCACCCCGGGCUGUCAGCGCAGAGCUCUGGGAGCCACUGCAGUCGCCGGCAGGGCGCCCGCACGUAUGCCCACCCAGAAAUGCCAAGCAGAUUCUGAUGUGCUGACAGCAGAGAUAGAGCUCAGCCAAGAGAGGGGGUUAGUGUCAGACUCUGGUAGACAGUACCACAAAGAUCAGAGAGGAGGCUACAGUGGCCCUAAAGGUUCGCAGCCCAGUCCUCAGCAGUCCCAGAGGAGAUCACACGUGGCGGGCAGCCCAAAGAUUAGACCCAGGACAAACAGUGGGGCGGACAGAGAUGGAAGAAGGAAGGCUGCACCCCAACAUCUGGAGCACAAAAUGGACUCUAGGGUGCCAAGUGCUCCCUCUGGAUCUCAGAGGAUUCAGAGGGCUGGGUUAUCGGGGCAGGAGUUGCCAGGUUGUGGCCGAGUGAGGGAUGAAGGACUUAUUGAGCUGCUGGACAUGCUGGACAUCGAACAUGAGUUCAGCUCCAGUCCCAGAACGGGUCACGCAGCUCACAGACAGGAGCCACAGCAGGUAGGUUCAUCAGUGGAUUUAAAGUCCAAACUCAGGAGCUUCAUUUCUACAUUUCGUAAAAAGCAACUAAUGCAGCACAUAAAUGCUCACGUGUUUCUGUGCAGGUAAAUCCAGCCGCGUCGUCGCCAGUAGAAGCGAGGAGGAGCUUCUCUCGUCCUGCACGGCCAGCCAACCAGCGACCUCCAUCCAGGUGGGCCAGCCACACCCCAACUGCCAGGAUCAGCGCCCCGUCGGGCCCAGUGUAUCGUUCCCCAAGCCCCAUGACCAGAACCCCAAGUCCAGCCCCGAGGCAUCGGCCGCUCAUCUCCUACUCUCUUCAGACUGAGACGGUCAUUAUGUGAUACUGUCCCAUUUCAGUAAUGCUUGAUCCCUCCCCAGGGAAACCCCUCCUGUGGUUCCCACCCAACACCCUCUAUGUAAAUAGCCAGAACUGUUCCGGUAAUGUGCUUUACGAGAGUGGCUGAGAAGUGCUUCAUUUCAUCUUGAUGCCGUGUUCAAGAUAAACCACAUCCAUGACAUUCUCCAGUGUUGCUGUGGCUUUUUGCUUCUUCUGUGCCUGACGUUAGCCAACAGUCCCGCCCCCCUUAUCCACCUUUCUCCUCUAUUGUAUUGUAUUUUAAGGAGUUCUGAGUAUAAAGAGAUUUAGCAUGCAGCCCUAGAAUGGGGGUGCAUGCUCAUGUGUUUAAUCCUCAGGGUUGCCACGCUGAAUUUGAUUCAGCGUGGCAACCGGUGGGGAGUGGAUUAAUUUGCAACUGUGCUCCAAGCAGCAACCUGCUAACUGUCAACAACAAGUGUGUUUUACUGUAUCAUAUUGUCAAAGUGAUAUAUUUAAGAUGUUCAAAUGCCAGCUGUGGAAAAAAAUGACUAUGAUAUGCCUUUAAUGUAUUUUUUUUUUCUUGGUAAUAAAUAUGACAGUGCUUUGACACGAAGACUCUGUCUCUGUCCAUCGCAGCAUUGCAUUGUUCUGUUCUAUGAAUGACGGCCCAUGUUUCAGGGUGUUGAUGAUUUGCUGCAGGUCAUCCCUAAGGAUAUUGGACACCAGCGACUCCCUGCAUGUCAGUGCUGUGGCAGCCCACGUAGUGUUGCCAUUGCGGAUGAGCCGUGUUCCCCAACUCCAACACACCGGCUGGUUCAAACACAACCUGAGGAGCUGCGUGAUGUGUCAACCUACACAUAGUUCUCUUAUUACUGUGAUUGUUGAGGCUUAUACGUGAUACAGCACUUGAAUUAUAUAGAUUUAAUUUAAAAGAAAAUACAACAUUUGCCACGCUUAAUUUGCUGUACAUUAACACCGCAGUGUUGGCACAGGAGAAGUUAUGCUACCCAUCGUUACCAGGAUAUCCAGUGUGUGUGCACCGUGACGGAUCAGUUUCAUGCUCUGUGUUUCUCGCCUCUGCACCGACAACCUUCGGCUUCCCUGACACCUCCUUCUCUGUGGAAGGUGUGGACACGCGCGCACACGCACGCGCACACACACACACACACACACACACACACACACACACACACACACACACACACACACACACACACACACACACACACACACACACACACACACACACACACACACACACACACACACACACACACACACACACACACACACACACACACACACACACACACACACACACAGAGAGAACAAAAUGUCAGUUAUAGCACAGCACAUGUGCACUGUAUGUGCAUGCUAUGCCACGCAUAUACAUACACACUAUCUCCUGGCAGUAGUGCAGCUAAAGUGUGAAAUGUAAUGUAAAGGCUGGGUUUGGUGUACGGAAGUCCCUCGGCCCCAUGAUGCUUCAGCCCUGUCACCCAAGCUCUCAGUGCUAUGUAGCACAUCAGACAGAAAUAGCAAGCGUGACGUGUGUUUUGGUGCCAGAAAUCUUAGCCUGAAAUGAUCAGCCUUACCCCUCUUUGGGGUUAUAAAUAAAGAGUGAGAGAGAGGAGGUGUUGGUUCCUCUCUCUGUCUCUCUGUUUCUUUUAUCUUGCCCAGGCCUGUUAUAGUCUCCCAAUCAAAUAUCAUAUAUGGAAUAUCAAAUUGGGAAUUUAUUCUGAAUUGCUCCCUUAGAGACAGACCAUUGGCUUUAGGCAAUUUCUUUAAUUUUUUGUAAGUGACAAAGCGUGAUUCUGAUUCCAGGGCUGUUUGCCACACUGUGUGUGUGUGUGUGUGUGUGUGUGUGUGUGUGUGUGUGUGUGUGUGUGUGUGUGUGUGUGUGUGUGUAAAUGAGAGCCCAUCUUACAAGUUGGCACCUCCACGAGCUACAUGAAGGUAUUUUAACAAGGCAUCUCGUUGGCCAUCACUCCUCUGUCCUCGCCAGGCCGCUGUGUCAGGCCAGACUGUUCCCCUUGAGGUCCACAGAAUAAAGUAUGAAAAAGGAGACAUUUACCCUCUUCGCGUUACUUCCCUUUCCCCUGCUUCCCUCCCUGACACUCCUCACAGGCCGACACUGUGUGACGGCGCUUGGCACAGCAUGUUCUCCGCUGGACAGGCUAUUCAUGAGAGCUGAGAGAGACAGAUGACAGACAGUAAGAAGGAGAACACAAGAACAGACAGCUGAACUGUAGCCAUGGCUCCCCUGACGUCAGCAGGCCAAGUUGUCACAGCCACUCCGAUCCCCAACAAAAAGAUUGUGCAUCAGCAAGGAAGACUUCCAGGAUUCUUUCGAGUCAAACAACUUUCCUUGAAAUGCUUCUGUAUGCCGGCGCUAUGAUGGUGUCUUCACACCCACACAAUAUACACACAUUGAGCAUGAAGAUGUACCAUUACAUGUCCACACUGCUCUAUAUACACUUCAUGCUUAUUUAUGACAUCUAGGUUCCAGCAGCAUCUGUUUUCGUGGCUUUGAUCGUGCUAAGGGUGCUGAUAUUGAAUGAGUUACAAUAGUGAGUGCUUUAAAUAUGUGUGCAUGUGUGUAUACACGUGCAUGAAGGUGUCAGUUCAAAUCCAGACUGAAUUUAGACCUCUUCUGACAAAAAAAACAACUCAAUUUGAGGUGACAAAAUUUGAGUAUUAUAUUUAUGAAUUGUAUUUGAGAAAAUACUACAUGGUUUUUAAGGCAUGGCAAGAAAAAUUUUACAAUGAGAAAGAAAGUCUGUAACUCUAAGAUCAUUCUUGAGAAUAAAUUAGUACAAAAGUGUCCAUUAUAGGCCUCUGUAGCUUUUUAUCUGAAUCAAGGUAUUUUGUUAAAACAUUUGUUUUUACAGUUUAUUAUUGCAAUUUUUGAUAUAUAUAUAUAUAGCGUCACAGAAAUGUUUUUGAUGUGACAAAAGGGCAUUGGAGGGGGCAUGAUGCUUUACUUGUUUUAUGAAUUAAAACAGUAUUUUUGUUUACAUUAUGUAGAUUUUUUAAUUCUUUGAUGAGUAUUAUCUUAUUAGUUUUAAAUAAAAUGUUUUUUUUAGUAAUGUAUGAUAAUAUUGCAUUCACAUAUAGGCCUUAACUGGCCUCGUUUAGCUCUGUACAUUGAAAGUUCCUGCCCUAGUUGCUAGGCAGACUUGAGAGCCUCUAUUCACGACAAGCUGGAUAUACUGUAUCUUCCAUGCAUGUGUGAAAAUGAGCAUUACAUCUGUCUGAAUGAGCUUCUGGUGGCUGACAUAAUGUCUUCUUGACCGUCUGAGGCAUGUGCGAAUCUCACACCACUUCCUGCCUCUUCUCUCCCACACACACCUGUCCCAUGUCCUGUGCCCUCUGCCCCCUAGGCCGCUACUCUGCCCGGACAAGCCUCUCAUUCAUUGGAGCAGGGCUUGGAGGUCCGCACUAACAUCCUCAGCAUGUGUCAGUUGCUACUGCGACGAACUGAAAAUAGAUGGUUAACAACCACUUGUAUUACUGUGUAUGUGUGCAUGUCUCAUAAGAAAUGUGGAUGAAGGAGGGGCCGGACCACCCUGUUCAAAAGGUUAAACAUUAGAGGGACAGGCGACCUGAAACAGAGAUGUUUUACAGCUGUUUUACAUGCUUCUCCGGGCCUUCUCUUUGCAUUGUGUUCUACGAAUUCUCUCGUUAAAACUUAACAGACCAAAGAAGUUUGCAUGUCUCAAACAACAUGCAUUUUAUUGUACUUCCAAGUUCUACAGUGUUUGCAUUUUUCUUCACUCUUUAAAAGGAUGGCCCCCUGGAUGGCAUCCACCUGCACCAGACAUGUGAGUGCACAGUUUCAUAUACAAGCUGGGAGGAUGGACACCUGUUUUAUCAUGAUCUGUUAGUGUUGAAUGUACUUUUAGAAGCUUAGGACACAACUUCGAUGCAGACAAAUCAAUAUUUAAGGCACCUCAGACAUUACCAGAAUCGAGUCCUGUCUUUCUGUAUGUGACAAUUAAAUAAUACCUAAGAGCCUACUCUCAAACAACUUUGUCUAUAACAUUUCAUAAGAGCAUUUUCUGACUUUUCUAAGCAUCCCCUGGGGGUGUUGACAUCUUAAAUUAUGGAUUCAAUGGCCAGCCCCCAUGUGUACUUUUAAUUCCCACCACUCUGCACUUCCAUUUUUCAUGCACUUUAUAUACAAAGUACAAAACGUUCCAUCUGUUGGACCGGCAGGGAGUGUCACAAGGUCUCGAUACAGCUCGCUCUGUCUUCGUCCACCUGUCCGAACUGUCAGUGUGCCGGCGUCCGUCCAUUGAAAUGGCCAUCUCAAAUGCCGGAUGAUGAGUGCGGCGGUACGAGAGAUGGGGCCAUCAAGGACAGCCAGGAGGGCCCUAAAGGGUUCUUGAGAAUUCCAGACCUCUCCAUGAAAAUAGAAUGGGGCCCAAAUAUCUCCCCUUUGAAAGUCGACCCGCGAGGCUCGCCUUUCAAAACAAGAGAGGGGUGUUCUCGUGGGAUUAGCUGGUGUUGCCCGGCAGAGGUGACUAUAGUGGUCUAUUUAUCGUGUGACAAAUGACCAAUUUUAAUUUAAUUUA